rnacentral:lncRNA from 1 species
AUUUGGUAUCUCAAUGUACAGACUGUGACAUCUCAAAACUGCUAGAAGUAUUCUUUCACCAAUGUUCACCUCCAUCAAAUCAUAGCUUCAAAACAAAAACAACUUUCUUUAAGACUGGAAUUACUAACCAAGUACUAAAUAAACUGAAAGGUCAAAAUACAAUUUUACUAAAUGGGGGCGAGUCAGUAGAAAUUUGGGGCGAGUUCGUCUUACACGGUUUGUUAUUUUAUUUUCAUUGUUGUAAGCGGCUGUACAUGUGUUGUCUUUUCGAGCAAAAGAAGUAGCAAAUGGCAUGGAAAAUCAUAACAUGUAGGAUAUAAGGCAAUAUAUUUAAACUAUAUAGUAAAUGUGCCAAUAAAACAAAAAGAAAAAAGUGUUUGUCAAUGUCAUGUCGUCAUUCAUGAUAACUGAACUGCUGAAACUAAAAGUCAAAGUGAGAGAGAACCAAGUCAGACGUAUAAUAAGCCCUAAUAACAUGUUCGCUCCAGGUCCGUUCGCUCUGAGUUCGUUCGCCCAUAGAGUCCGUUCGCCC